rnacentral:tRNA from 1 species
GGUAAGGUGGCUGAAUUAAUAUGUGAUAGACUGUAAAUCUAUUUAUGAGAAUCUUCUCUCUUACCA